AUACUUACCUCGACAAGGUCAAUGGUUGAUCAAGAAGAACCAUGGCCUAGAUUGAUGACCUCCAUUGCACUUUGGAGGGGUGUCAGUCUAAGGUCUCCUCAAGAAGGAGAGCCUAUGUCAUAAUUUGUGGUAGUGGGGGUUUGUGGUAGUGGGGGUUUGUGUUCGCGCAGCCCCUUU
rfam:Cicer arietinum chromosome Ca5, whole genome shotgun sequence.